rnacentral:piRNA from 1 species
UUACCCGAAGACUCUUAUGUGCGAUCACU